CCUCCCCGGGGGGCGGUGCGGGGCGCCCGAGGAGGAAAUGGAACGCGUGAGGCCAAACAAGGAACAAUCCCCGGGUUGUUGGCUGAGCCAACAGCCUCCUGUCGCCGGGUCUGUCGCCGUGUGAGCGAACGCGUGGAUUACCCCGUCAGGAGGAAAUGGGCGAUGAUGGGGCGAUAAACUCGCCCGCUGUGUAAUCACAAUUGAUUUGCAAUUGACCGAGCGCCGCUCCCGACCCCGGGUCGCGGGGACCGGGAAGCUCUCGGAGGCCGUGGCCGCGCUCCUCCGCGUGCUCGGACUGUGCAGCCGGUCCCGCUGUUACACGCGCGGGGCUGUUUCUGACCAAAAUCAGAACUUUUCCGAAAGUGGCAGGUAGUUAUUUUAGCGCUAAUUUAGUUAACACCAUUGUGAAAGGUGUUACGACAUCGAACAAUGCCCGGUGAAGAAAAUGUCUGGCACGGGACUCAGUGACUGAUAGAGGUUUAAAAAGUCUCCAGUCCUGGAUGCGGUGCUCCAUUUUAAGAUGUAAUUCUUUCGCUGGUGGCUGCUUGAAGCGCACCUGAUAUAAAAAUUUCUACAGAAUGUAAAAGUGAGUGCGUCUAGUCAGGGGAAGCGGGCGAGUCUGUAAAUUACCGCUCUGUCAGGAUUCCUCUUGCCUGUUACAAAGUACCUUUUUAUGCUGAACUUAAACUCUACACUACAGAGACAGCAGAUGUGAGGUGAUGGCUUCCAAAAGCAACACAGAUGCUGUAAAAUUUCCAUUGCUAUAUUUCAGCGAGGAAGCUCAGGAGACAUGCUGAAUGCUGCAGUUUAGAGUUACACUAUAACUCUCCUAGAAAUAAGAGAAUACCAAGUUUCUCAACAGUACAUUUUGCUUCAUUUUUUGCUGUCAUUCAUAUGCUCUUGUUUUCUUACAGCGAGAAAAAGAGAUGCAGCACAAAGAUACUGUGUGUCUUGAAGCUGUUCAGUAAUGACAGAAUUGGUAUAUAAAACAGCACAGCUGUGAGGAGGCUGCUUUGCUUUAUGUGACUGAAAAGCAGCCUGAUUUGCUCAAGACUGUGGAAUCAGAGCCCAUUGUGUGUUCGUUAUACUUGGAGACUUCCCUGAAGUCCCUAGAAGUCCUGUGAUGAAGGAAUCAAGGGUCAAGUCUUUAAAAUGGUUUGUGUGUUUAUUCCAGAAAAUUUAGCAGCUGCUUUCUCUGAAAAGCUGAACUUUGCUAUAGCAAUGCAGAAUACUUUAGAGCACUUUUUUUUCCCUGGGAUUUCAAAACAGAUGUCCAGUCAUCAAAUCAUGCAGAAAUAUAAAGCUGGAAAGGAUGUUACAGAUAUUAUAACUUUGUAAAAAGUUACAGAUUUGACUUGUUGUCAAAUCUAGUCACUUUGUGACUAGUCUUUGUCACUUCUUUGUCACUACAGAUCUUUGUUGCCACAGAUACUCACGCCUCUUUUAUUCAAGCAAUUAGGUUUGGCACUGGCCCCUCUAACAUAAGCUUAAUUUUUCUGUUCAUCUGAGGCUUUGCAUUUGGGAUUAUAUGGAUCCCACCAAAUCAGGUAAUGGACACUGCAGGGCAUUUUAGUUCAAAAUAAGUAAGUUUGGUUGUGUGGGGGUUUUUUUUGUUUUUUUUUUUUUGUUUUUUUUUUUUUUUAAACUGGAAAUAAAAAUGCCACAUGAAAUCUUGGAUUUAACAUGCUAUUGUGUUUAUGUAAAAAUAGAGAUUCUUAGUUUAUAAGAUUGAAAAAAAUUGCUUUUUAAUUCCCACUAAGUGUUCUCCAGUAAAUUUUAGUGUGGCAUUGACUGCAUUGGAUAGGUCACUGAAUGGUGCUUUUAUAAAAAUAUUUGAAAAGAAGAACUUGGUCCAUGGAAAUUGUUCAAAUAAUCUUGUUAGAAUGAAGCCUUGACUGAAGGCAGUAAUUUCAUGGAUUAAACCCAGAAGGGCUGGCUAGGCUGAUCUCCUUCCUAUCACAGGCCACAGAGCUUUGUGCAGAGACUGUGCUGGUUAGCUGCAAGACAUAGGGGAUUUUGCAUGGACAAUACAUUGAACAACACCAUGAAACUAGAAACUGUGGAUCUUUUUGAGGACAGGAUAAAUAGGAGCAAAAAGAAAUAGUAUUUUUAGAGGCCAUUUAGUAAACACAGGAAGGUAAAGUUGUUGUACUUUGCUGUGUUCAGCUUUACCCUAAAAUGUUCCAAUUAAAAGUAAAAGAAACUGGUUUGUUGGUUUUAUUUUUAUUUUUUUUUUCCAGUCUAUCCUUUUCUCUCAUAUGCCACGUGGUCUAGAACUGAGCUACAGGAUGGGACAUCCAAGUAUGGGGAGGAACUGACUGAUUUGUACUUCUGCAAGUCUUAAAAGCACAAAUUAUGAAAAAAAAAUCCAGUGCUGUGAAACUUAAAGAAAAAUAGGGAUAGGAGAAUACAGUGUGCAUAUCUAUCUUUGCUAUUUUUCCUUUUACAAAAAUAAAUAAAUAAAUGGCAUUCAAACAUC